CGGAGGAUCCAAGCGUUAUCCGGAUUCAUUGGGUUUAAAGGGUGCGUAGGCGGAACGAUAAGUCAGUGGUGAAAGCCUGCAGCUUAACUGCAGAACUGCCAUUGAUACUGUCGAUCUUGAGUACAUUUGAUGAGGGCGGAAUGUGUCAUGUAGCGGUGAAAUGCUUAGAUAUGACACAGAACACCGAUUGCGAAGGCAGCUCUCAAAACUGUAACUGACGCUGAGGCACGAAAGCGUGGGUAUCAAACAGGAUUAGAUACCCUGGUAGUCCACGCUGUAAACUAUGAUUACUCGAUGUUUGCGAUACACUGUAAGCGUCUAAGCGAAAGCGAUAAGUAAUCCACCUGGGGAGUACGCUCGCAAGAGUG
rnacentral:rRNA from 1 species